AAAAAUACGAACAAAUGGCCGAAGUAAGAGUUUUUUACUAACUUUUUUUUCAACUUGCAGGCAUCGCAAUGGCUUCAUUGAUUAGCAGCAAAAGCCACAUAUCUGAUGCGGUUAAUAACGCGGUAUGAGUUAUUAUUUAUUAAUCACAGGUUCUAUUUAUUUAAAAAGGAUAGACGUACAAAGAAAUAAUGUUAUCGUAAAAUUUUUUCUGUAAUUUAACACUAUCAGGACUCGUAUCGAGUUUUAAG
rnacentral:lncRNA from 1 species